rnacentral:ncRNA from 1 species
UCUAGUAGCUGGUUCCCUCCGAAGUUUCCCUCAGGAUAGCUAGAGUCUUUAUCAGUUUUGUCAGGUAAAGCGAAUGAUUAGAGGUUCCGGGGAAGUAACUUCCUCGACCUAUUCUCAAACUUUAAAUGGGCAAGAUCCAGUAGUUACUUAAUUGAACUAUUGGGGUCAAUGAGACGACUCUAAGUGGGCCAUUUUUGGUAAGCAGAACUGGCGAUGAGGGAUGAACCUAACGCUCGGUUAAGGUGCUAAACUGCUCGCUCAUCAGAUACCACAAAGGGUGUUGGUCGAUCUUAACAGCAGGACGGUGGUCAUGGAAGUCGAAAUCCGCUAAGGAGUGUGUAACAACUCACCUGCCGAAUCGACUAGCCCCGAAAAUGGAUAGCGCUGAAGCGAGUGACCGAUACCGGGCCAUUGUUGCAAGAUAAUUGGCAACAAUGAGUAGGAGGGCGUGGGGGUUGUGAAGAAGCUUGGACGUGAGUCUGAGUGAAACAGCUUCCAGUGCAGAUCUUGGUGGUAGUAGCAAGUAUUCAAUAAGAGAACAUUGAAGGCCGAAGUGGGGAAGGGUUCCAUGUGAACAGCACUUGGACAUGGGUUAGCCGAUCCUGAGAGACAGGUUAAAUUCCAUCGGAUUGGAGCUUUGGCUCUGUUUCUCGAAAGGGAAGCUGGUUAGUAUUCCAGCGCCGAGACGUGGAUAAUAUGUGGCAACACAAGUGAACUCGGACACGCCAUAGGGGACCCCAGGAAGCGUUGUCUUUUCUUUUUAACAGUUCGACUUACCCUGGAAUCAGAUCAUCUGGAGAUAGGGUUUUCGAACUGGAAUAGCACCUUGUCUAACAGGGUGUCUGGAGUGUUCUCGCUGGCCCUUGAAAAUCCGAGGGAUAGAUUUAUUCGCACUCUCGAUCGUACCCAUAACCGCAUCAGGUCUCCAGGGUAGAAGCCUCUGGUCGUAAGACAAAGUAGAUAAGGGAAGUCGGCAAAAUAGGUCCGUAACUUCGGGAAAGGGACUGGCUCUGAGGUUUGGUAUGUGGAACCUGGAUUAAUCGUUGGAGUCGAGCAGAGACUACUUGUUGCUCACGUGACUUGUGGACUCCUUG